rnacentral:rRNA from 1 species
UACGUAGGGGGCAAGCGUUAUCCGGAAUUACUGGGUGUAAAGGGUGCGCAGGCGGCUUAGCAAGUUUGAUGUGAAACCCAUGGGCUUAACCCGUGGCAUGCAUCGAAAACUACAAAGCUAGAGUGCAGGAGAGGAAAGCGGAAUUCCUAGUGUAGCGGUGAAAUGCGUAGAUAUUAGGAGGAACACCAGUGGCGAAGGCGGCUUUCUGGACUGCAACUGACGCUCAGGCACGAAAGCGUGGGGAG